rnacentral:lncRNA from 10 species
AAAAUGUCAGGCUCAGGAUGCUUAUACUUUUUGGGGUUUUUUCCUCAUAGUGCCAAGAUGGCUGCUGCAUCUCCAGCUAUUGGGUCCGUUAUGAGCAGCAAGGCUUAAAGGAUGUAGCUCCCCGCUGAGUCAACUCCCUUUAAAGAACUUUCCAGAAAACUCCAUCCAACUUUUGCUACCUACAUGUCACAGGCUGCCCCAACUGCAAGGAAAAAUGGGAAAUGUACUUUCUUUUUCUUUUUUUUUUAAGUUGGCAAAUUACCACCUGCCAAAAUAUAGGGGUUUUGUUAGUGAAGAGGAAAGGAAAAACAGAUUUUGAAUAUUUAUUAGCAGUCUCUGCCACAGACCUCCACGAUCCUUCUUUUCUCUUUUUUUCCAGUGAUGCAGAAUAAAGUGGCAAAUUGAACCCCACUUUUGUUUCUUGCUAAUUGUUCUCAUAAAACGCCCUUUUCACUCCAAGCCCAAGGCAGCUCAUUUUAGAAUGUCCAGAAAAAGAAAAAAAAGGAAACAUGGAAAAUUCUGAGUCACAGAAUAUUUCCUAUAUCACAGCAGAAAAAAAUUGGACUCUUCUAAAAUAAUGGUACUGGGAAGACUUUGUGUUUUUCCCAAUUUGCUAUAGUUUUGAGUUGUUAAAAGUCACUUUCAAUUUUUAGAGUACUAGAAGAGUUUCAAUCAAGCCAUUUUAAGUAAGACCCAUUCAUGACAGAGUUUAUUUCCAUUCUGUAUUGUCCUUUUCUUUUUGUAAAUACCACAGAACUUGAGUGUUUGCUUUUUCAUUUGUUAGUUUAUUUAUUUAUUCUAGGGUUCCAUUCAACAGCCAGACAGCUGGGUUAUGGAAAUGCCAAUUAUGAAUUCCCCACAGAUCUGAGC